CCCGCGUUCGGUUCCUGUUCCGGGCGAGGCGGCGGGAUGGACCGGGAGCUGCUGCGGCAGGCGCUGAGCUACCACGGCCCCGCGCUCCUCUCGCUGCUCCGCGCCGAGCAGCAUGACAACCCCGACUUCCGCGGGCUGCUGCCGCCGCCCGGGGCGACCCUGGAGCCGCCCCGCGGGGCCCCGCAGCCGCCGGCCGCCUGGAAAGAGAGGGCGAGCAUUGACACCGAGAUAAAGCGCUUCAUUGCCAAAAAAGCUGAUUUGCUUUUUGCUCACUCCUGGAAACCCAAUGGACCUCUCUGUGACACGAUUGAAGAAAACGAAGAGUAUUAUGCUGUUAUGCCUCCCCUGGAACGAUUCAUGGAGGUUCCCAGGGAAGACAGGAGAGAAUUAUUUUUUCGAGACAUCGAACGUGGUGAUAUCGUGAUUGGGAGGAUUACUUCUAUUCGUGAAUUUGGCUUUUUCAUGGUGUUGAUUUGUCUGGGAAGUGGUGUCAUACGGGAGAUUUCAGAUUUAGAAAUCACUGCUCUUUGUCCUUUGAGAGAUGUGCCUUCUCAAAGCAACCAUGGAGAUCCUUUAUCUUACUAUCAAACCGGAGACCUUAUUCGAGCUGCCAUCAAGGAUGUUGAUCGUUACCAUGAGAAGCUCACGGUGUCACUUUACAGUUCAGCUCUUCCACCCAAUCUUUCCAGUACAAAACUAGGUGUAAUUACUUCUGAUGAUUUCCCAUUGCAUUAUAGGAGAAGCAUGGAAGUUGCUAAUACAGCAGAGACAUUUGAAGAAGUUUUACAUCGUUCCCCAGGAUUUGCUAAUCCAUCAUUAGUUGAAUAUUUAGCAGAAAAACUGGGAAUAAGUGAAACAAAUCCACCGUCUUUGAUGAGAAGUCUUCAAAUUAAAAAUUUCAGUGAAGAAGAUUUUGCCCCUGCAUUGAGGAAAAAGCAAUCUGCAUCGUGGGCCUUGAAAUGUGUGAAGGCUGGGGUUGAUUAUUUUAAGGUUGGGCGCCACGUGGAAGCCAUGAAUGAGUACAACAAGGCUUUGGAAAUUGAUCCACAAAAUGUUGAAGCUUUAGUAGCACGUGGAGCUCUAUAUGCAACAAAAGGAAGUCUGAACAAAGCUAUAGGUGAUUUUGAAAUUGCUUUAGAAAACUGUCCUACUCAUAGAAAUGCAAGAAAAUACCUCUGUCAGACACUUGUGGAAAGAGGCGGGCAAUUGGAAGAGGAAGACAAACUACUAAAUGCUGAGAGUUACUAUAAAAAAGCCUUAAGUUUGGAUGAGACUUUUCAGGAAGCAGAAGAGGCCUUAACAAAACUCCGUAAGCAUAUGCAGGUGAUUCUUUACUUUCUCUUCAUAUAGUGCUCUCAAUAACAAGAAAUGAACAUCAGAAAUCAUAUUAAAUCUUUCAAACAGAGAGUUUAAGUUGAUAGUUUGUCUUAUUCUCUGCUUCCCUUCUCCACAGUAAAUCUCUUAUAGUGAGCAUUAUGGCUGUACCUACCAGAAGAAAGGUACCUUAUGACUCCACUGUUUUGAACAGGAUAGUAAAGAAAUGCCAAACAGUGGAGAUGGGGAAAGAGCAAAGCCUGUUAACUCUGUCAGCUAAAGAAAGGAUAAUUAUACUCUAUCACAAGCAUGAUUAAUAAUGUUAAAUUAAAACAUUCUGUGGAUACAGACACCCAGAUUGUACAACACAUAGGCAAGCCAAAUAAAAAUUGUACAGCAUUGUACCAGCCAGAUCCUUAUUUGGAGUAAUUAUGAAAAGAUGGAGCGAGACCACUCAGAGCUAACUCACUGGAAGAUCAGAUGAGAGGGGAAAGUUAAGAGGUGGUUUAAAAGAAAAGGAGGUGGAGGGUGGGUGGGCAAGCACUUUGAAAUAUCUUAGCUUUCUUCUCUGCUGUCUUGUUUUUUAUUUUUGUUUGUUUGGUGUUUUUUUGUUUUUUGUUUGUUUGUUUUUGGGUUUUUUUUUUUGUUUGUUUGUUUGUUUUUUUCUCUCUUGCACGCAGCAUAUUUCCCAGGUGAGCCCUGGUGGGUCUCUAUGCUAAUCUGACUUGCCAUCUUUUUUCUUUUAUUUACCUCCUUUACUUGUGUUGUCUUUCAGAGAGGAUCAAAGAGUAAGAUAGAGCACUGAGGAACAGGCUUGUUUUGUCCUAUGCUUCUGCAUGUAAGGAGGUACAUACACUGGGGUAGAUGGCCUUAAUCAACACUUCUUCAGUUGGUGGAGCCAUAAUGCUGACAGGUUGUGUUGGAAAGAAGGGGGAAGAGGAGAUAUGACAAUCUGUUUAAUAAAACUGGACUACAUCAUAGAUAAACCAUGUAUGGUAUUUCAGCACUACAUGCGUUUGGCUGCUUUAAAAAGAGGUUUCAGACUCAGUUAAAACGAUGAGGAGUAUUCUCAGCAAGUAGGAGACAAAUUUUACUCUUUUAUCAUUUUCCUGGUAUAGUGGGUCAUUGAUGCAGCAGGUAAAAACCCAUGAUGCUAGCUAUUUGUUGGUUUGCAUAGCAGUUAUGCACCUGCAAUUCAGGGUCUCCUUUAUUGUAUCUGUAAAGACAGUUGUUAAGUUUUGAAAACAAUAAGCAGACUUUCUGCUCACUCUGAAUAUGAAUAGAUCUGCUCUUUAGGACUCUAGAGGGCAGAAGUCUGAUCUCUAAUAGACUUAAGGAUUAUUCAUCUGGUGAGAUGCUCUCCUGUAUUUACCUGUAUUUUAAUACCUAAGUCUGAUACUAUCACUGUUUGCUAGAAUGGCUGAAACAACAGUGGAAUAUGUUUUCCUGUAAUACUGAUUAUGUGUUUUUCUCCAAUGCAUUUUCUUCUGAAUUGGACCGUUGUUGCUGUAUGUGACAUCUGGUGCUGCUCAUCACCAACAAACCCUUGGAACAUGAUUUCUUACGUAAACUAUGCAUCAAACUGGUCUGUGAAAUUGUUACAAAACGAAAUCUUUGGAACUGAGGGAGAAACAAGCUGCCAAAGAAGAGAGACAGAAA